AGUGAACGCUGGCGGUAGGCCUAACACAUGCAAGUCGAACGGCAGCACAGUAAGAGCUUGCUCUUACGGGUGGCGAGUGGCGGACGGGUGAGGAAUACAUCGGAAUCUACUCUGUCGUGGGGGAUAACGUAGGGAAACUUACGCUAAUACCGCAUACGACCUACGGGUGAAAGCAGGGGAUCUUCGGACCUUGCGCGAUUGAAUGAGCCGAUGUCGGAUUAGCUAGUUGGCGGGGUAAAGGCCCACCAAGGCGACGAUCCGUAGCUGGUCUGAGAGGAUGAUCAGCCACACUGGAACUGAGACACGGUCCAGACUCCUACGGGUGGCUG
rnacentral:rRNA from 1 species